GACGAACGCUGGCGGCGUGCUUAACACAUGCAAGUGGAGCGACGAACCGGGCUUCGGCCCGGGGCAGAGCCGCGAACGGGUGAGUAACACGUGGGUUACCUGCCCCGAUGACUGGGACAACCCGGGGAAACCCGGGCUAAUACCGGAUGUGCCCUUCGGGGGAAAGGAAGCUUCGGCCUCCGCAUCGGGAUGGGCCCGCGGCCCAUUAGCUUGUUGGUGGGGUAAUGGCCCACCAAGGCUGCGAUGGGUAGCUGGUCUGAGAGGACGAUCAGCCACACUGGGACUGAGACACGGCCCAGACACCUACGGGAGGCAGCAGUGGGGAAUCUUGCGCAAUGCGCGAAAGCGUGACGCAGCAACGCCGCGUGGGGGAAGACGGCCUUCGGGUUGUAAACCCCUUUCAGUUGGGACGAAGCUCCGCCGGUGAACAGCCGGCCGGGGUGACGGUACCUUCAGAAGAAGCCCCGGCUAACUACGUGCCAGCCGCCGCUGUAAAAC
rnacentral:rRNA from 1 species